ensembl:lncRNA
GUGGAAGAGAGGCGCGGGUGCACGAAACAGUCCGAGCGGGUUUAUUCGCUCAGUGUUUGUUAGCGUGAGUCCAUUGGGGCGAGAUGAUAUCGGUAGAGGACGGAGACUCAAGUAUGUGUUUGUCUGAGAGAAGUGUUGUUCAAGUCGAAUGUGACGGAAUCUUAGCCGAAUGCUAGCCAUAACUCCACUCUCCCUCGCUCUCUUUUACUCUGUGUGCUAAUCAGCAUUUGAAAGGCAGCUUUGACAGUGAGAAAGAAAAGUGAGGGCAGUGGGGAGGAGGGAGUGUAAACGAGAAAGAAACGAGAGAGAGAGAGGGAGAGAGGGAGAGAGAGAGAGAGAGGUAGGGGCCGUACAAGCAUUUCUUUUAUAUUUACUAGCGAUUGAGGAGAAAGAGAGAGGGAGCGGGUGAAGAGACGACCGGUGCGUGCAGCUUUCCCAAGAGGAAAUGAAAAGAAAAGAAGCUCAACGAGGAAAGAGAGACAGCCAAAGCGGGGAGCACGCCAGAGAAGGAAACAGACUUGCAUCCUCUAACUCCAGUCAUAUCUGAGACGAUCCCGCUUGGAAAGUGAGGGAGGAGAGAGAGGGAGAGUGCGGUCAUCGCCACUGUGCGCCCACAAACACACAUACACACACACUCUUGUGGCAGCGGACCGCUGUGUGUUCGCCUGCUCUUUUGUGCCGGCAGCUGGGAUUGUUCUUAGCCCUGUCUGACCCCCUUGUCACCCCCCGUGUGAGUGUGUGUGUGUGGGAGCGCGAGGGGACCAGGAACGUGGACUGAGCGGAGGGGAGGGUCACCGGUUCGGGUGUCCGGACGGAGGAGGAGAGAAAUAUCUGCCUCCAAAACAGCUGGACAUGCACAUCAGCUCUUCUGUUGGGGGUCUCGGACUGACAUAGCCUCGGCCA